rnacentral:rRNA from 1 species
CGGAGGAUCCAAGCGUUAUCCGGAAUCAUUGGGUUUAAAGGGUCCGUAGGCGGUUUUGUAAGUCAGUGGUGAAAGCCCACCGCUCAACGGUGGAACGGCCAUUGAUACUGCAAGACUUGAAUUAUUGGGAAGCAACUAGAAUAUGUAGUGUAGCGGUGAAAUGCUUAGAUAUUACAUGGAAUACCAAUUGCGAAGGCAGGUUGCUACCAAUACAUUGACGCUGAUGGACGAAAGCGUGGGGAGCGAACAGGAUUAGAUACCCUGGUAGUCCACGCCGUAAACGAUGGAUACUAGCUGUUCGGAGCAAUCUGAGUGGCUAAGCGAAAGUGAUAAGUAUCCCACCUGGGGAGUACGUUCGCAAGAAUG